GUGCACAACUACAUAGAACGGGGUGGCAAAAUGCGAUCCGCGUAGCUUUCUUCUUGGCAUUUACUUAGCAACAAAACAAAAAAGAGUUGGUUAUUUAAAUUGCCCUUUGUUAAGUACUUAAUCUAUGCCCAUAUUUUAAUAAUGCCAAGGAAAUAUUGAAUUUGGAUGUGGCUUAUUAAAUAGUAUAGCAGUAAAGUCCGGUUUGCGGUGGGCUGGGGAAACGAGGACGGCGCGGCGGUAUUCGUCACCGACGUAGAAAAUGGCGACUAAAUACCAACAAUUACAUCGCGCGACUGAACGUCAAUGUGAAUUAAUUUCUAUUAAAAAUGCUUAAUAUACAAAAAGGAAUACAAGUAGAUCUAAUUCAAA